GAGAGAGUGAGUGUGUGUGUGUGUGUGUGUGCGCGCACGUGCGCGUGCAUGCGCACGUCCAAAC
rnacentral:miRNA from 1 species